UACGUAGGGUGCGAGCGUUAAUCGGAAUUACUGGGCGUAAAGCGUGCGCAGGCGGUUUUGUAAGACAGGCGUGAAAUUCCCGGGCUCAACCUGGGAACUGCGCUUGUGACUGCAAGGCUAGAGUACGGCAGAGGGGGUGGAAUCCACGUGUAGCAGUGAAAUGCGUAGAGAUGCGGAGGAACACCAAUGGCGAAGGCAAUCCCCUCGGGCCGUGCACUGACGCUCACGCACGAAAGCGU
rnacentral:rRNA from 1 species